GAUGAACGCUGGCGGCGUGCCUAAUACAUGCAAGUCGAACGAGUUCUCGUUGAUGAUCGGUGCUUGCACCGAGAUUCAACAUGGAACGAGUGGCGGACGGGUGAGUAACACGUGGGUAACCUGCCCUUAAGUGGGGGAUAACAUUUGGAAACAGAUGCUAAUACCGCAUAGAUCCAAGAACCGCAUGGUUCUUGGCUGAAAGAUGGCGUAAGCUAUCGCUUUUGGAUGGACCCGCGGCGUAUUAGCUAGUUGGUGAGGUAAUGGCUCACCAAGGCGAUGAUACGUAGCCGAACUGAGAGGUUGAUCGGCCACAUUGGGACUGAGACACGGCCCAAACUCCUACGGGAGGCAGCAGUAGGGAAUCUUCCACAAUGGACGCAAGUCUGAUGGAGCAACGCCGCGUGAGUGAAGAAGGCUUUCGGGUCGUAAAACUCUGUUGUUGGAGAAGAAGGUCGGCAGAGUAACU
rnacentral:rRNA from 2 species